CCGGGAUUAGAUACCCGGGUAGUCCCAGCUGUAAACUAUGCAAACUCAGUGAUGCAUUGGCUUGUGGCCAAUGCAGUGCUGCAGGGAAGCCGUUAAGUUUGCCGCCUGGGAAGUACGUACGCAAGUAUGAAACUUAAAGGAAUUGGCGGGGGAGCACCACAAGGGGUGAAGCCUGCGGUUCAAUUGGAGUCAACGCC
rnacentral:rRNA from 1 species